CGACCGCGGCUGUGCCAGCUGUGCUGCGCAGUGCUGGGACGACGCGAGUCCCGCAACCAUAGCAAACGCCUUACGAUGAAUCGGAUACUCGUGAAGAGACAGCAAGGGCUUCGCGAGACGCUGUGCGCACACUUCUCGCUGCCGAAAGCCGUCUCGUUCAGGACGCAUUGAAGCGGACACAGCCUGCAGCGAAGAACAACACGACGGACAUUGCUCUACUCCACUCGUGGGAAAAGAUAUGCUCGUGUUGACAAAACCACCAUUUGGAGAGCGUAGUAUAAUUGGAAAUCGACACGGUUCAGCUACUAACAGAAUGAGACCAGGAGCACUCAUGCAAAUCCCUUAACACCAGCAGGGGAGGAAUAUCUGAAGAAGAUUUCUUAGGCCUAAGUGACAAGGAGCUCCUCGAGGGGUUUCAGGAUCAAGACGUCAUAAAGGUACUGCUCCGAUCAACCACAAGCAAACCAGUUUUCGAACUACAGCCUGAUGACUUAUCAGCUCAGUUUUUGCCGGACGGUGAACCUUUGUUCAACUGCUCGACAUGGGAAUCAAGCGACAUUGACCAAAAUGACGGAAAUCAACGAAUGUGCCUCGCAGCUGAAAUUGGCCGCUGCCGGUCAACCAACCGUGGACUGAUCGCACAGACGACUGCAGCCUACAAAUAGCACAGAUCUUCACUCGGCGCUUGGGGCAUGGAACCGGUGCAGAUAUGACUGCACUGCUUACGCUUACGCUGUUAUUUCUGCAGGCUGACCACCAAAACAGUGUGAAUCUGGGUCCUCAGGAGCUUGAAUGCCACCAGGUACCAAUGCUCUGCUCGUUGUGGACAAGUACGACGAAGACAGCACCUGCCUUUGUGCAAUACUUCUGAAUGCUUCUUCAUUGUGACCAAUGCAAAACUGUUGUGCAAUUUAACCUUUGUUUACUUCACUAAAAUAAUAAAUGAGCCCAACAAUUACAAGAGCAAGCCUGGAAGUGUGGAGACUUCAUAUUACUACUUUGACUAAAAAAUAAUAAAAAUAUAGUUUUUUAAUGCAGGAAGUUCUUGCUUUGGUUUAUUCCAAAACAAGCCAACUGCAUCUCUUAAAGG